GAUGAACGCUGGCGGCGUGCCUAAUACAUGCAAGUCGAGCGAACAGACGAGGAGCUUGCUCCUCUGACGUUAGCGGCGGACGGGGGAGUAACACGUGGAUAACCUACCUAUAAGACUGGGAUAACUUCGGGAAACCGGAGCUAAUACCGGAGAAUAUAUUGAACCGCAUGGUUCAAUAGUGAAAGACGGUUUUGCUGUCACUUAUAGAUGGAUCCGCGCCGCAUUAGCUAGUUGGUAAGGUAACGGCUUACCAAGGCAACGAUGCGUAGCCGACCUGAGAGGGUGAUGGGCCACACUGGAACUGAGACACGGUCCAGACUCCUACGGGAGGCAGCAGUAGGGAAUCUUCCGCAAUGGGCGAAAGCCUGACGGAGCAACGCCGCGUGAGUGAUGAAGGUCUUCGGAUCGUAAAACUCUGUUAUUAGGGAAGAACAAAUGUGUAAGUAACUAUGCACGUCUUGACGGUACCUAAUCAGAAAGCCACGGCUAACUACGUG
rnacentral:rRNA from 1 species